rnacentral:rRNA from 1 species
CCUACGGGUGGCAGCAGUGAGGAAUAUUGGUCAAUGGACGAGAGUCUGAACCAGCCAAGUAGCGUGAAGGAUGACUGCCCUAUGGGUUGUAAACUUCUUUUAUAAAGGGAUAAAACGAGGCACGUGUGCCUUUUUGCAUGUACUUUAUGAAUAAGGAUCGGCUAACUCCGUGCCAGCAGCCGCGGUAAUACGGAGGAUCCGAGCGUUAUCCGGAUUUAUUGGGUUUAAAGGGAGCGUAGAUGGGUUGUUAAGUCAGUUGUGAAAGUUUGCGGCUCAACCGUAAAAUUGCAAUUGAUACUGGCAGUCUUGAGUACAGUUGAGGUAGGCGGAAUUCGUGGUGUAGCGGUGAAAUGCUUAGAUAUCACGCAGAACCCCGAUUGCGAAGGCAGCUUACUAAACUGUGACUGACAUUGAUGCACGAAAGUGUGGGUAGCAAACAGGAUUAGAUACCCUAGUAGUC